AGCGAACGCUGGCGGCAGGCCUAACACAUGCAAGUCGAACGAAGUCUUCGGACUUAGUGGCGGACGGGUGAGUAACACGUGGGAACGUACCUUUUGGUUCGGAACAACUCAGGGAAACUUGAGCUAAUACCGGAUGAGCCCUUAGGGGGAAAGAUUUAUCGCCGAAAGAGCGGCCCGCGUUAGAUUAGCUAGUUGGUGAGGUAAAGGCUCACCAAGGCUACGAUCGAUAGCGGGUCUGAGAGGAUGAUCAGCCACACUGGGACUGAGACACGGCCCAGACUCCUGCGGGAGGCAGCAGUGGGGAAUCUUGCGCAAUGGGCGAAAGCCUGACGCAGCCAUGCCGCGUGAAUGAUGAAGGUCUUAGGAUUGUAAAAUUCUUUUACCAGGGACGAUAAUGACGGUACCUGGAGAAAAAGCCCCGGCUAACUUCGUGCCAGCAGCCGCCGUAACAC
rnacentral:rRNA from 1 species